GGAGAGAUGCCUGAGCGGUCGAAAGGACACGCUUGGAGUGCGUGCGUAUAAGAAAUUAUACCGUGGGUUCGAAUCCCACUCUCUCCG
rnacentral:tRNA from 1 species